GACGUAGGGGGCAAGCGUUGUCCGGAAUCAUUGGGCGUAAAGCGCUCGUAGGUGGAUCGGUAAGUCUGCAAAGAAAGACCCGGGCUCAACUCGGGGAACGGUGUGGAUACUACCGAUCUUGAGGCAAUCAGAGGAUGAUGGAAUUCCCGGCGUAGCGGUGAAAUGCGUAGAUAUCGGGAGGAACACCAGUGGCGAAGGCGAUCAUCUGGGGUUGUUCUGACACUGAGGAGCGAAAGCUAGGGGAGCAAACGGG
rnacentral:rRNA from 1 species